rnacentral:rRNA from 1 species
AGUCCACAUCGACGGGGAGGUUUGGCACCUCGAUGUCGGCUCAUCACAUCCUGGGGCUGUAGUAGGUCCCAAGGGUUGGGCUGUUCGCCCAUUAAAGUGGUACGCGAGCUGGGUUCAGAACGUCGUGAGACAGUUCGGUCCCUAUCCGUCGCAGGCGUAGGAAAUUUGAGAAGACCUGUCCUUAGUACGGGAGGACCGGGAUGGACGUACCUCUGGUGUACCAGUUGUUCUGCCAAGGGCAUGGCUGGGUAGCUAUGUACGGAAUGGAUAAGCGCUGAAAGCAUCUAAGCGCGAAGCCAACUUCAAGAUAAGAUUUCCCACCGCAAGGGUAAGACCCCAGAAAGACUAUCUGGUUG